rnacentral:rRNA from 1 species
UACGGGGGGGUGCAAACGUUGCUCGGAAUUAUUGGGCGUAAAGCGCACGUAGGCGGUCCUGUAAGUCGGGUGUGAAAGCCCCAGGCUUAACCUGGGAAGUGCACUCGAAACUGUAGGGCUUGAGUAUGGAAGAGGGUCUCGGAAUUCCCGGUGUAGAGGUGAAAUUCGUAGAUAUCGGGAGGAACACCAGUGGCGAAGGCGGAGACCUGGGCCAAUACUGACGCUGAGGUGCGAAAGCGUGGGGAGCAAACAGG